CAUCCUUCAGUUGGGGACUCAUGCGAUACUGCCUGCGACGAGCAGGAGGAAGGUGGGGAUGACGUCAAGUCAUCAUGCCCCUUAUACGCUGGGCUACACACGUGCUACAAUGGGUAGUACAGAGAGCGGCAAACCCGCGAGGGGGAGCAAAUCUCAGAAAACUAUUCUUAGUUCGGAUUGUACUCUGCAACUCGAGUACAUGAAGUUGGAAUCGCUAGUAAUCGCAAAUCAGCAAUGUUGCGGUGAAUACGUUCUCGGGUCUUGUACACACCGCCCGUCACACCACGAGAGUUGGUUGCACCUGAAGUAGCAGGCCUAACCUUAGGGAAGGAUGCUCCGAGGGUGUGGUUAGCGAUUGGGGUGAAGUCGUAACAAGGUAUCCGUACGGGAACGUGCGGAUGGAUCACCUCCUUU
rnacentral:rRNA from 1 species